rnacentral:rRNA from 1 species
UACGUAGGCAGCAAGCGUUGUUCGGAGUUACUGGGCGUAAAGGGUGUGUAGGCGGUUCUUUAAGUUUGGUGUGAAAUCUCCACGCUUAACGUGGAGCGUGCGGUCGAUACGGGCAGACUUGAGUUCGGUAGGGGAGACUGGAAUUCCUGGUGUAGCGGUGAAAUGCGCAGAUAUCCGGAGGAACACCGGUGGCGAAGGCGGCUUCCUGGACCGACACUGACGCUGAGGCGCGAAAGCUAGGGGAGCAAACAGG